GUCGAGCGGAACGAUGGUAGCUUGCUACCAGGCGUCGAGCGGCGGACGGGUUGAGUAACGCGUGAGAAUCUGCCCAUUUGUGGGGGAUAACUCGGGGAAACUCGAGCUAAUACCGCAUAAUCCCUACGGGGGAAAGCAGGGGACCUUCGGGCCUUGUGCAGAUGGAUGAGCUCGCGUCGGAUUAGCUUGUUGGUGAGGUAAAGGCUCACCAAGGCGACGAUCCGUAGCUGGUCUGAGAGGAUGAUCAGCCACACCGGGACUGAGACACGGCCCGGACUCCUACGGGAGGCAGCAGUGGGGAAUCUUGGACAAUGGGGGCAACCCUGAUCCAGCCAUGCCGCGUGUGUGAAGAAGGCCUUCGGGUUGUAAAGCACUUUCAGUAGGGAGGAAGGCUUUCCGCUAAUAACGGGGAGUACUUGACGUUACCUACAGAAGAAGCACCGGCUAAUUUCGUGCCAUCAGCCGCGGUAAUACGAAAGGU
rnacentral:rRNA from 1 species